GGUUGCUCAGUGGUAGAGCGCUUGCCUCACAUGCAUGAGGCCCUGGGUUCGAUUCCUUAACACCA
rnacentral:tRNA from 1 species